rnacentral:rRNA from 1 species
GAUGAACGCUGGCGGCGUGCCUAAUACAUGCAAGUCGAGCGAACAGACGAGGAGCUUGCUCCUCUGACGUUAGCGGAGGACGGGUGAGUAACACGUGGAUAACCUACCUAUAAGACUGGGAUAACUUCGGGAAACCGGAGAUAAUACCGGAGAAUAUAUUGAACCGCAGGGUUCAAUAGUGAAAGACGGCUUUGCUGUCACUUAUAGAUGGAUCCCCGCCGCAUUAGCUAGUUGGUAAGGUAAAGGCUUACGAAGGCAACGAUGCGUAGCCGACCGCAUAGGGUGAUCGGCCACACUGGAACUGAGACACGGUCCAUGCUCCUACGGGAGGCAGCAGUAGGGUACCUUCCGCAAUGGGCGAAAGCCUUACGGAGCAACCCCGCGUGAGUUACGACGGUCUUCGGAUCGUAAAACUCUGUUACUAGGUAAGAACAACUGUGUAAGUUACUAUGCACGUCUUGACGGUACCUAAUCAGAAAGCCACGGCUAACUACGUG